rnacentral:tRNA from 1 species
GGAGGAUUAGCUCAGCUGGGAGAGCAUCUGCCUUACAAGCAGAGGGUCGGCGGUUGAACCCGUCAUCCUCCACCA